UACGUAGGGGGGCAAGCGUUGUCCGGAAUCAUUGGGCGUAAAGCGCGUGUAGGCGGUUCGGUAAGUCUGCUGUGAAAGUCCAGGGCUCAACCCUGGGAUGCCGGUGGAUACUGUCGGACUAGAGUACGGAAGAGGCGAGUGGAAUUUCCCCGGUGUAGCGGUGAAAUGCGCAGAUAUCGGGGAGGAACACCCAAUUGCGAAGGCAGCUCGCUGGGACGUCACUGACGCUGAGACGCGAAAGCGUGGGGAGCAAACAGG
rnacentral:rRNA from 1 species